rnacentral:rRNA from 1 species
AACGAACGCUGGCGGCAUGCCUAACACAUGCAAGUCGAACGAACCUUUCCGGGUUAUGGGGGGUCCGGGGAGGGACACGUGGGAACGUGCCCGUGAGUUCGCUGCCCUUCAGGUUGAGAUGUCUUCAUAAAGCUGGUGCUAUUCCGGGAUAAGAGCUGUUGCUUCUAGAGGGGCGCGGGUUUGUUUCGCUGGUUGGGUGGGGUAAUGGCUCACCAAGGCGACGUGCAGUAGCUGGGCCGAGAGGAUGAUUAGCCACAUUGGGACUGAGACACGGCCCAAACUCCUACGGGAGGCAGCAGUGGGGAAUCUUGCGCAAGGGGCGAAAGCCUGACACAGCCAUGCCGCGUGAAUGAUGAAGGGCUUAGGAUUGUAAAAUUCUUUCACCCGGGACGAUAAUGACGGUACCCGGAGAAGAAGCCCCGGCUAACUACGUG